AGUUUAGUUUUAAAUUAUGUUUUCGUUCGAGCUUCCUUAGAAGCUUCAUCAUGCUUAGUUUUGUAAUUAUUAUGAUAUUAUGACAUAACUAGUUGUUUAAUUAGCCAAAUAAUGACUACUUACUAAUUUGGAGUAGUUCUCUUGUAGUAUCAAUCUCUGGGCACUAUUAUUGUAUCAAUCCUCUGCAUCGGAACGUAUUCAGAGCACGCACCAUGUGAAAAAAGGAAUAAUCAGGACAAAUAAAAGACUGUUACUGUUCCAGCACGCUUCUCUAUGUUAGGCUGUUAGCGGAUCAUAUAAAACCGUCGCUGCAGUUGGCCAAAGCUUCUAAUUGCCAAACAAGAUGCUGAAAUCAAGAGACAGACUAUAGAGGAGGAGGCAGGAAGAUGCAUGCUACAAUGUUACUCAUCAACGGAUGCCGAUUGGUUAUUAUUGAGUUAUACACACUAGAUAUAGCACAUUUGUGUUUCAUUUUCUGUAAAUUGCCAGCUAUUACGUAGUGAUAGUUUUUAGAUACAGUGAUGCUUUAAUCGUUUGAUCCCUUGGAAUAUAUUUUUACUGGAAUCUGUUGUUAUAAGUUAAUAA